AUAGGGCUGGUUAGUUUUACGUGUAUAGGGCUGGUUAGUUUUACGUGUAUAGGGCUGGUAAUGGGCCAUUCCCAUCUGUACCGGGUCGGCCCGGGCCGGGUAGCCACAGUCGGCCCCAGCCUGACCCGGUUGAUUCCACACAUCCUUGUCUUAAGCCCAUGUGGGCUGAUUCUACCCACCAAUCAGAGGCUUGCUCUAAUGGAAGGUGUGAAUGAAUUUGCUGUCAGCAGUGGGUGUGUUGGCCCUGGUCGGCCUGAAGCAGACCCCCUCGAGAAGAGGGCUGAGAAUGAGCCUUGGUUGGCCCGGAAAAAUACCAGGCCACCCAGAUAUGUAAACAACCUACGCUACCCGGCCCGGGCCGACCCGGUACAGAUGGGAAUGGCCCAAAAUACACAGGCUCACAGCAGCAUUGUGGCAUCAUAUGGUACCAGCUAGCAUCAUAGCUCUUAGAUUUAAAUUUAAAUGUAGUGCAGAGUUUUUACCUUAAGAGGGCGCUACACUGACCGUUGUGGAAGAAUAUUCAAAUUUUUGCUAAGAGGCACUAAAGUGCCAAAUUGUUGACUCUGCGGGUCUACAGCACGACACUAAUUUAUGUAGUUUAUCAGCAAAAAGGCUGAUUUGGGAGUGACUUGCUCAUUAAGAGUGGGGUGUUUUUAUUUAUGUACAAGAUUAGGUCAAAUAAUUGGUACCUUCCAUUAUAAUGAUUGGGAUUCCUCUAGUCUUUGUUGCUUUGUCCUCCUCAGCUUUUUCCCUAAUUAACCCAACUUCCUCCUGUGUCUCCUCUUAUCCUUUCUUUUGUAUUUGGUUUAGUUUCAUCUACAACUUAUUUAUUCACCUAUACUGUAUUAUUUAUGACAAAACAAGACUUUGGAAUGGUGUUCUAUCACAGUUCUUUUGUUUGAUUUUAGCUAAACGAAUUGUUUCCAUAAAGGUGCAAUAUGUAAGAAUGAAGAGCAUGACAUCCUGUGGCCUAUUAUGGGUACUGCAGUUAAUUAUUCUAAUAAAGUUAAUAUCUCACUCCCAUCCUGUGAGUGUCAUGGUUGUUGCUAGUUAUGGCUGUGCCAAAAGAUUUUAGAAAUGUAAGUGGAUAAGUAAACAAAGACAUUGUCAUAUCUGGCAUUAGCACUCUUGGACAUAUUUUGGUAUUAUGAUAUAAGUUACCAUUAGAGUGAGAGUGGUUGUUUGCAGUCUUGCUGUUAGCUUGCUGCUAUAAUUUUGAACAACGCAUUGAAUAAGUAGCUUGAGAUAUAUUUACAGCCGACAGUUUACUCCUAAUUCACUGUUAGCAUUGAUAGCUCAACGUUGGCCUCUAGUCUUCUUUACCCAAUAUUAGAGUAAAACAAAAAUAUGCUGUGGCUUCUUACAAGAAAUAACUCCUGUUUGACUCCCGUUACUGCCCUAGGAUCUUUACGAAAUGCUGCUGCUGUCGAAUUACAAAUCCUGACGCUGCAGCGUUAGCUUGGCGCAGACUUGCUAACCUUACAGGCUCACUGAUCGUAAACGGUAUAACUACAUUUUCCUUUAGUCCUUUUUGGAAAGUAGAAUAACUAACAACCCCCAGCCAACUGAAAAUUAAAUCUUUUUCAAUAUUAAACUUCCUUCCAACAUGACUGCAACAUUCCACUGCUUUGUGAUUAUUUCUCUUUAGUAUUCUUACAUGUUGCUCUUUUAAGUGUAUAGAAUUAGCCUGGCUGGAGGCAUUUAUGGACUGAAGAACAUUAUACUCAAUAAAAAAUGAGCAAAAAGUGUUCAUGAAACAGACAAAUGUAUGCAUGAGUAACAAAAAAAGGAAAACCUCAUUCUUAAGACCUAAAAGAAAAUAGUAAGUGCAAAAACCACAUGUGGCUUUUGUUUUGACUUACUUGUCAUUUCUUUCAGAUCCUGUUGAAUGCUAGAAGUUUAUUAUUUAACCAGUUCCUGUUUUUUAUUAGUUAAACCUUAUAAAUUCUGCGUCUCUUAUUUAGAAUAUUUUGGAUCUUUUUAGAUUCAGCAAAGACACUGGAUCACGUACUCAUGGUUACACCAUAUUAUAAAUGUAGAUGAAUUCCUCACACUUAGUUUAAAAGUCUAAAGCUGUUUGUGUACUUAACCAAAAGUGGUUCUCACCAGAAAAAAAACAUAUGCGUGCAUUUAAAUCCUCAGCUUCUGCUGUUUUUUCUUGUUCUCAGUUAGAAUGCACUUUGUAUCUAUGACAAGCGCAUCAUUUCAGAUGAAAAAUUUAUAGAUUAUGGGGCGCCACAUCUUGAAACUUUCAUGCCAGUGCCUUCAUGCACAAUGAAGCAAAUUCAAAGAGAUUUCUACCCACUUUUGGCUUUCGUUUGUGCACAUCAAGCUCCAACAACGUCACUAUGCCUGAAUUCCCUCUGAGAAAUAAUUUCAAUUCUGGAUGAAUGGAUUUGUCAAAACGUAUAGGUCCACCACAUAAACGAGACAAGAACCUUUACAGAGAAAUCAUUUUUAACUUGCCAUUUUUUAAAUAUGAUCACUCUGGGUUUAACAUACCGGCUAAACGUGACAAUAGUCUUCUUCCCCUAUUUCCUGCAUUAGCAUUUGAUAGAAAAUAGACAGGGAAACACUGGUCAGAAAAAGCCACACAGAUCGAUCACACCAUAAAAUUAGCAUUCGUAGACCAUCUUAAGCUAACCGUUAGCAUUAGCAACUAUUUGUGGAGAAAAAAUGAUCAACAGUGGCGGUUCUACAUGGAAUUACUCCCCGGGCGAGGAACCCUUUGUGCGCCCCCCCC
ensembl:lncRNA